GUAAAUGAGCUCAUAAUUCCAUUUGUACAAUGCAAAAUAUGUGGUUGUUGCCUUAAUCAAAAUGCUGGGGUCCGUUCUUCGUACCUCGCUAAGUAAGUUAGCUGGAUUUGAUUGUUGACGAUUUCGCGUGAUCUUGGAUCGUUCGGUUCUCCGAAGCUCAUCCGGGACUUGCUGUCAUAGCAACAGAUCCGUAAGCGUAAACCUGCUUGGGAGGAGGCUUACUUUAUGUAAACAGGAUUAGAUCGCGGCCACUCAGGACAGUGAACCAACCCUGUCAGAUGACUGUGGUUUGGAGGAAGUCCCUGCAAAGAGGCCGGCAGAGAGGCCUGAUACAGAGGGUGACAUCCGUUUGCUCUAUAAGAGAAGUCUCCAGCAGAAAAUAGAAUAUACUGAGCUAAAGAAACAGAAGCUUCUAGGUGAAAUCGAACUUCAAGCUCUAAUGAGGCAAAAAGUUCAACUGGAAAUCGAGUUGCUACAGAAGGAACUACAGAGUAAGUAACAAUACACUUUCAUACAGAGCACUAUUGGUGACCUUGCGUGGUACAGUAUAUAUGAUUUUCUUUUCCAGGCAAAUGAUGACUGGCUUCUGUUGGAUGAGACGGCA
ensembl:lncRNA